AAGUUGACCUCAAAUCAGGUAGGAUUACCCGCUGAACUUAAGCAUAUCA
rnacentral:rRNA from 1 species